rnacentral:rRNA from 1 species
AUUGAACGCUGGCGGCAGGCCUAACACAUGCAAGUCGAGCGGAGCGGCGGACGGGCGCGUAAUGCCUAGGAAUCUGUCUGGUCGUCGGGGAUAUCGUCCGGAAACGGGCGCUAGUACCGCAUACUAUCAGAUGGGCCUGGGUCGGGUUAGCUAGCUGGGGGGGUAAAGGCCUACCACGGCGACGAUCCGUAACUGGUCUGAGGGGAUGAUCAGGCACACUGGAAUGGAGACACGGGCCAGACUCCUCCGGGAGGCAGCGGUGGGGAAUAUUGGACAAGGGGCGAAAGCCUGAUCCAGCCAUGCCGCGUGUGUGAAGAAGGGCUUCGGAUUUGAAAGCACUUUAAGUUGGGUGGCGUUACCAUCAGAAUAAGCACCGGCUAACUUCGUGCCAGCAGCCGCGGUAAUUC